rnacentral:rRNA from 1 species
GGCAUCCAUGGCAUCUACCCGUUAAUGGAUAACUGUAAUAACUCUAGAGCUAAUACAUGCCCCGAAGCCCUGACCCGCGAGGGAAUGGGUGCACUUAUUAGAUCAGAAGCCAACCAGGUAGUGUCCUCUCGCUUUCGGGUGGGAGCUCCGCUGCCUGUCGUCCUUCUGGUGACUCUGGAUAAUUGUUACAGAUCGCAGUCGGCCUUGCGUCGGCGACGGGUCCUUCAAAUGUCUGCCCUAUCAACUUUCGAUGGUAGGUGACCUGCCUACCAUGGUGAUAACGGGUAACGGGGAAUCAGGGUUCGAUUCCGGAGAGGGAGCCUGAGAAACGGCUACCACUUCCAAGGGAGGCAGCAGGCGCGCAAAUUACCCACUCCCAGUACGGGGAGGUGGUGACGAAAAAUACCGAUGCGGGACUCUUAUUGAGGCUCCGUAAUCGGAAUGAGUGAACUCUAAAUCCUUUCACGAGGAUCAAUUGGAGGGCAAGUCUGGUGCCAGCAGCCGCGGUAACUCCAGCUCCAAUAGCGUAUAUUAAAGUUGCUGCAGUUAAAAAGCUCGUAGUUGGAUCUCGGUAUCACUGUCGCCUGCCAGUCCUCGGCUGAUUGUGUCUGUGUGUGUAGGUGGGACCGUGCUCUGCGCGGCACCCCUCACCCAGGCGCGGUUAUGCUCGAGUUGGCGUGGUGGUGGUGUCACCUUUCAGCCAUGUCUGUGGUGAAAUACCCGCAGGUGUAGGCGAGUGUCAGGCGGUGCUCUGCGACAGUAGGGUCCGUCGGCUCGUUUGCAUGCCUCUGGAUGCCCUUCAAAAGGUGUCUAUGGGCGGAUGGCACGUUUACUUUGAACAAAUUUGAGUGCUCAAACCAGGCCGAUGUUGCCUGAAAAGUUUUGCAUGGAAUAAUGGAAUAGGACUUCGGUUCUAUUUCGUUGGUUUUCGGAUCCGAAGUAAUGAUCAAAAGAGACAGGCGGGGACGUUUGUAUGGUUGCGCUAGAGGUGAAAUUCAUGG